CAAAUUUUGCUUUCUAUUUAGAGAUUAAAUCUUUUAAACUAAAUAUUUGUAGUUACUAACUUUUUUUUUUUUUGGCAAUCCUUUGCAGUUUAUAAACCAGCUUCACACAGCUUUACAUCUUUUCAUAUAUCUUUUACUUAAAAUAGGGACUGGUUUCUUCAUAAGGCAAUAGUAAUACCAAUUACUGAGGUGAGGAUAAUGGUUUUGUCCAAGGACAGGGUUUUAGUGCCUAAUCUCUGACUCCAGUUGGAGUUUUCUCUGACAGCAAAGCUUUAUCUUUCUCACUGAAGUAACCCUUGGUUGUUUUGAUUUCAUUUUUAAACUCAAAUGUUGCUCUCUUGGUCAGCCAAUCAGAGACAUCCUCUAAAUUGCAGCGUAAUGACAGACGUUUGUGGUUAGAUAGUAACUCUUACUUGAGAAAACCUACAAGAAGGCCACACUUCCAAGCCCUCCACAGGUACAAUUCUCAAAUAACAAUGUUCUUAGCCCGGUUGUCUUUCUUCUUUGUGUUUGCUGUUCUCACGGUUGACAGUAACUCAGAAUGUGUGCUGCCUCUGACAGAUCCCCAUGCCUGGGAAUUGGGAGAAUCCUAACCCUGGACAACUGGCAGUGGAAGACAGUGAUCUCUGGAGAAAGGGAAUCAAGUGAGGCUGGCCAUGGUGGCACACACCUCUAAUCCAGCACUUAGAAGCUGCAAAACUGGAAGAAUUCAUCACUGGCACCCAGAACAGCAAGGAAUCUUCAGGGGGAAGAAGUUUAAAGAAGUCUUCAAGGGGUGGUGCACACCUGCAAUCCCAGCACUUGGGAGGCUAAGGCAGGAGGAUCACCAAGAGUUGGAGGCCAGCUUGAGCUAUACAGGGAGUUCAAGGCCAGCCUGCAUUACAAAGUGAAACCCUGUCUCAAAAACAAACAAACAAAAAACAGGAGAGAGAAGAGACACACAGUAACAUGGUAGUCUUACAAUGUGCUUGAGUGAUUGAUUUUUGCAGAACUGGGGAUUGAACCCAGGGCUUUCACACUGAGCUGCAUCCCCAUUACAUUUUAUUUUUUAUUUUGAGAUACCAUCUCUCUUAAGUCCUUAAACUGCCCAGGCUGGACUUGAACUCACAAUCCUCUUGCCUCAACCUAGAAUGCUGGGAUUACAGGCCUGUACCACCACACCCAGUUUUACAAUGUGAUUUAUGAUAGAGGCUUUGAAUGUGCGUAUGGGUACCAACCUGUGAAUAACAUAUGGGUAUGAACUGCAGACUUAAGGUCGACCAUGUAUGUGAUUGCCCCGGUUAAAAACUCUGGAUACCAAGGUCUCAGGUGAGUUUCCAUGGUUGGCAGUGCUCUGAGUACAACACACUUUAAUGCCAGGAGAGUAACAUUUCUGAGGUGACAGGAGCCUAGCAUUUAGAACUCCCUAGACUGUGCCCUGGGUGUUUCUUCCCUUGGCUGGGCUUUUUUUUUUUUUUUUUUUUUGGUACUGGGGAUUGAACUCGGGACCUUGCACUUUUGAGGCAGGCGGUGGAUGGCUGGGUUUUUUAUUACCAUAAACUGGGUGUGGUGGUGCACACCUGUAAUCCCAGGACUUCAGAAGCUGAGGCAAGAGGAUCACUGAGGAUCACUGUGAGUUCAAGGCCAGCCUGAACUAUAUAGUGAGACCUUGUCUCAAAAAAAAAUUUAUCAUAAAUUGCCACAAUACAACUGUAGUAGCACUUUCUUGAGCUCUGUGAGUCAUUCUAGCAUGUGAUAGAACCUGAGGCUCAUCAUAUAAAUGCCUAAGAGAGGGUGACCCUAGGGAUGCCUGCACUUGUGACCUUCUGAAGACAAGGAAGCCUGGUAGGGACCGUUCCCCCAGACUGUGCCACUUGCUUAAACUCCCUUAUAACUAGUCAACAAUAAAAAGGAACAAACCAUCAAUAAAUGUAUAUGUGGGUGAAUGCUGAAUCAUAUUAUAAAAGAGCUAGGACCCUUUCCCAUAAAGAGUGCACAGUAUAUGGUUACAUUCUUACAGAAUCUUGCUCUAGAUCAGACAGAUCAGUGGUUGUCUGGGCAUGGAGUGGCAUAGGAUAAUUCCAAAAUGGGAUGAGGAACAUUUUGGAGGGUGUAGAUAUGUCAACUGAUUUCCUACUAUCAGAAUUUACCAAACUGUAUAUUUUAAAUAUGUGCAUUUUAUUUAUAUUGAAUAUACUUCUUUACUUUUGCUUUGUUUUGGUUUUUGGUACCAGGGAUUGAACUCAGGUCCUUGCGCUUGUGAGGUAGUUCUUUAUUUUUUUUGUUUUUUUGUUUUGGUACCAGGGAUCUGAACUCGGGUCCUUGAACUUUCGAAGCAGGCAGCGGAACCACUGAGCUAAAUCCCGGCCCUUUUGUUUUGUUUUUUGAGACAAGGUCUCACUAUGUAGUUCAGAUGGGCCUUGAACUAUGUAGCCCAGGUUGACCUCAAACUCACAGCAAUUGUCCUGCCUCAGCCUCUCAAGUGCUAGGCCGAUUAUACUUUUUUUUUUUUGAUACAGGGAAUUGAACUCAGGACCUUGCAAUUACCAGGCAGGGGCGGUGCCACUCAGCUAAAUCCCCAACCUUGAUUAUACUUCUUUAAUAAAGUUUUUAAAAUUUAAAACCUGAUAAUGAGGUUCCAUCUCACAUCAAUUAAAUGAGAAUUUCAGUAGGUGGAGCCCUUGCAUUAGUGUUUUUUUUAAAUACAGUAUUAGUAAUUCUUUUUUUUUUUUUGGUAGCAGGGAUCGAACUCGGGUCCUUGUGCUUGCACAGCAGGCGGCAAAACCACUAAGCUAAGUCCCCAGCCCCAGUAUUAGUAAUUCUAAUGUAAACAAAGGGUGAAAUAACAGCCUGUGGGACAGGUAGAAAAGGUCAAAAGGUAUCAUCUUUAGAAUCACUUCAUUCCUACAAAGUGCACCACAAGUCCCAGUGCAGCCGCUUCUCCACUGUCCAUCACUUUCCCUGUCCAGGUAGGACUUCCCUGUGCCUCUGGGAAACAGCAAAGAAAAGAGACACAAUAGAGCAUUCUUGGUAUUUGGCUCUGAGGCAGGACUCCUCAAGCUGGUGUCCAAGGAGGGACUCCAGGUCUGGUCUGUCAGCAGGCCCACUAAAACUGCAACUGAAGUUAAGGAGCGCAUGAGUUUUUCCAUGGAGAGGGCCCAUAACUGUCAGUGGAUUUGUAAAGAGGUCCAAAGGCCUAAGAAGCACCGUUGGAGCGGCACAAGGAAACAUUACACACGUACUGGGUGCAGGGGUGAGUGGAGAGAAGGGAAACUAAAGGGUUUGGAAGGCUCAGUCACAGGUUGGCCUGCAGCAGUCUGGAGUUGAUUGGCCGUCUCUUGGGAAGUGACUAUUCUCAUCUGGAUCUACUCAGAAUACAGCUACUCAUGCUGCCAGGGCCCGGCUUUCUCCAGCUGGCUUCCAGACUAACCAGCCCACUCUAGUGUCUUGACCUAGCCCUGCCUUUUCCAGGUAAGUGGGCAGGAUUUCCUGAAGCUGAGAGAUCUGGAGGGGCCUCCACCCCUCGGCUCUAAUCAUCUCACACAUGUGGAUGGGGGUGGACACUGGCUCUUCUUGUCCUUCCCAAAGGGGAGUUGUGCCUGUGGCCACAGUGAGCUGUGGAAAGGAAUGAAUUCUUUGGAGCUAAAUUAUGUAUUUAUCUAAGCUGACCUUUUCACCUUGGCUCAGUCCUUAGAGGAGAAACUUCCUGACCUCAGAAUUUCCCUUAAGGACAUGGGACAAAAGAGUUCAAAAGAUCUUCAUAAUAAUUAGUCAUUGUCAGCACUAAGUAGGUAUAAUUUCUAAGAACAUGUUCAACUCAAAGUUUCAAUGAUUCUACCCGUUCUUGGAAAAUUACUAAUGAGAGUUACAAAACAAUGGCACACAGCUCUUGCCCUCAGUUGUGAAGAUAACAUGCACAAGUCACAGUUAAAAAGAAAAGUCUAGUGCCUUUAAUUCUAGCACUGUGGGAGGCUAAGGCAGGAGGAUCCGAAGUUUAAGCCCAACCUGGACAACUUUGCAAUUUAGCAAGAUCCUAUCUCAAAAAUAAAAACUGGAGGGGUUGGGGAUUUAGCUCAGUGGCUCCGAGCCUGCCUUGCAAGUGAAAGGUCCUGCCUUGAGUUGGAAACCCGGUACCAAAAAAAUAAAAAUAAAAAGUAGAGGCAACCCACUUUUGGGUCCCCUCUUGUCUCUCAGGAGCUCUCUCUCUAAAUAAAUUUUUCUAUCCUAAAAUAAAUAAAUAUAUAGGUAAAAACUAAAAAAGGGAGGAGGGGUAUAGCUCAGCAGGAAGGCACUGACUUCAAUCCCUAGUACCACAAAAGAGGGAAGGAAGGAAGGAAGGAGAGGAAGGGAGGAAGGCUAACGUAAAUUUUCUCUAAGACACCAAGGUAAGAAAUAUCCUUCUCAAAUAGGCAAGGUGAAGGAGAGCUUCAAUCAUAUUUUAGGCAGGUCUCACCCCUCUCCAAAGUCAUCUGUAAGAAUAAGAGAAAGACCACUGGUAUCAUCUGUCCACAGAGAUACUGACCUGGUCCACAUGGUCUAGUGUUUCCCAUUCAUGGAGCCCUCUUUGUGCCCUAUGAAACAUAUUCCAUCUUAUCAGAGGUCUUGCUGAUGUGAGUUCUCAUCAAAUCGGCCAUGUUCCUGUCUACUUUCUCCAAUUCCAGGAGAUAAUCACCUUUGUUGAGGUGGAUAGAGCCAGCACACCUCUGCCUCAGCACUAAACCAUUUCACUGCUCCUGACACCUGAGAAGCCCUGGGUCCCCAGUACUAUUUUCUUUUUUUUUUUCUUUUGGUAUCUGGGAUCGCACUCGGGACCUUGCACUUGCCCAGCAGGCAGCGAAACCCAGUACUAUUUUCUUCUUGAAAUGACAAAAGGGAAAUUGCCUCUCAAGAAAAUAAGACCUAAUAGGCACCAGGUACUUUGUUACCUAGUUCUUAAAGCUAUCUUACUUGCAAGAAUCUUCUCUGACUUUAUGGGUGCAGUCUAGGAAACAGUGACACUAUAGGAGAGACAAGUUAAUAGUAGAGACAUGGCAAGCGACUCUUCUGUGACUGCUUCAUGUACUUCGCCUGUGUUGACUUUUGCCAUCCCUAUAACAAUGUGCUAAUCACCCUUUUACCAGUAAAGCAGCAGAGAAGUGGUUACCCACCCAGGUGUAAGCUAGAAAGCCUCAGAGCCAGGAUCCGAACCCAGGCAGUCUUGGCCUUGCAGCCCACGAACUUAGUAACAAUUCUACACCACACAGACAGGAGCCAGCCCAGAACUGAGGAAUGUCUUGGGUAGACUACUACUGGGCAGGCAUCUCAGGAAAAAAGGUUGGAUGAAUAAAGGGUCUUCAAGACAAGGGGAGGAAUCUGAGUUUGUGCUUUAACUAAAAAAUAAUGUCUUUUUGUUCAACCUGUCCACACUAUACCACACAAGUGUUCUUAUUGUAAGAUCCCGGAUAGAGCCCAGAGAGCUCUGAACCCCUGGAAUUUUAGUGUGUAUCAAUGUACUUGUUCUGGGGAGACAGCUUAGGAUUUUUUUCAGGUUCCCAGCCACAUCCUCCAAGGUGGAGAACCUUGGAGUGUGUGUAUCAAUAGAAGAGUCGCUCUGUUUAGCCCUAUAGCUACACUCUUAAACCUCAGAGCCUAUGUCGCUGUAUCUGUAAUGGAGGGAUAAUAGAACCUACCCCUCUGGUUUAGUUGUAAAGUGGAUACAUUAUCACUAUAAAUCAUAGCCAAGUCAUACUAACUAUAUAAAAUUUAUAACAUUAAAAUUGUGCAAAAUAUACAAAUGUUAUAAAUAAAUGUGAGUUAUGAUAACAAAAUGCAUGUUUUUAACAUUUUUCCCAAGGGGAGGAAUGGGA
rnacentral:lncRNA from 1 species